GACGAACGCUGGCGGCGUGCUUAACACAUGCAAGUCGAGCGGUAAGGCCCUUCGGGGUACACGAGCGGCGAACGGGUGAGUAACACGUGAGUAAUCUGCCCAUCACUUCGGGAUAACUCCGGGAAACCGGUGCUAAUACCGAAUAUGACCACUUCAGGCAUCUGAUGGUGGUGGAAAGUUCCGGCGGUGAUGGAUGAGCUCGCGGCCUAUCAGCUUGUUGGUGGGGUAGUGGCCUACCAAGGCUUCGACGGGUAGCCGGCCUGAGAGGGUGACCGGCCACACUGGGACUGAGACACGGCCCAGAAUCCUACGGGAGGCAGCAGUGGGGAAUAUUGGACAAUGGGCGAGAGCCUGAUCCAGCAACGCCGCGUGAGGGAUGACGGCCUUCGGGUUGUAAACCUCUUUCAGCAGGGACGAAGCGCAAGUGACGGUACCUGCAGAAGAAGCACCGGCCAACUACGUG
rnacentral:rRNA from 1 species